CGAACGGGUGAGUAAUGCGUGACCAACCUGCCCCAUGCUUCAGAAUAGCUCUUGGAAACGGGUGGUAAUGCUGGAUGCUCCAACUUGACGCAUGUCUUGUUGGGAAAGUGUUUAGUGGCAUGGGAUGGGGUCGCGUCCUAUCAGCUUGUAGGCGGGGUAAUGGCCCACCUAGGCUUCGACGGGUAGCCGGCCUGAGAGGGCGGACGGCCACAUUGGGACUGAGAUACGGCCCAGACUCCUACGGGAGGCGCAGGC
rnacentral:rRNA from 1 species